rnacentral:tRNA from 1 species
AGGAUAAAAGUUUUCUAAACAUUUAAUUUGCAAUUAAAAAAUAUUAUAAUAAUUUAUCUUA